rnacentral:tRNA from 1 species
GGGCGGGUAGCUCAGUUGGAAGAGCAUCGGCCUUACAAGCCGGUGGUCACAGGUUCGAGCCCUGUUCCGCCCA